AGCGAACGCUGGCGGCAGGCUUAACACAUGCAAGUCGAACGGUCCUUCGGGAUAGUGGCGGACGGGUGAGUAACACGUGGAACGUACCCUUAGGUUCGGAACAGCACAGGGAAACUUGUGCUAAUACCGGAUAAGCCCUUCGGGGGAAAGAUUUAUCGCCUUUGGAGCGGCCCGCGUCUGAUUAGCUUGUUGGUUAGGUAAUGGCUCACCAAGGCUACGAUCAGUAGCUGGUCUGAGAGGAUGGCCAGCCACACUGGGACUGAGACACGGCCCAGACUCCCACGGGAGGCAGCAGUGGGGAAUCUUGCGCAAUGGGCGAAAGCCUGACGCAGCCAUGCCGCGUGGAUGAUGAAGGUCUUAGGAUUGUAAAAUCCUUUCACCGGGGACGAUAAUGACGGUACCCGGAGAAGAAGCCCCGGCUAACUUCGUGCCAGCCGCCGCGGUAA
rnacentral:rRNA from 1 species